AUGGAUCUGGACGAUGCUUCGGGGCACAGAGCUAGGUUCUCAAAUAGGAUUCACCGUGACUACCCCCAGUUGAGAAGGUUCUUCUCUAGUGACCUCCAGGAUAAAGUGGCUAGCGAGUAUGAUUUCCGUUUUCGAAGACUUGUUCCGUGGAACAAGCUCUACUACCGCCUCUUUACAUUCCGACACGCCAAUUAUUUGGUACUGAAAGCAAACACUAACUAUGGGAGGGGGCCACCACAUGAGUAUCCAAUGAAUCAGUUCCUAAAGGACCUUCGAUACAAUAUUUGGUCACCUAGGUAUGGUGAACGAUACAUCUAUAUCAAUAUCAUCAGGUUGGUUCAGAACCUGAUAAAGCAUGGAGCUGAAUACUGUGCGCAAUUUGGGGAUCUGAAUGAUCUCCUCACUGAGAUCAAAACUCAUUUUAGCCAUAAUAUGUGUGCUUGCUAUACCCUCCUAAAUACGAAGAAGGAUUGGAUUACUACGCCGUCGUUCGAGCCAUAUGGACGACUGCCUACACAGAUGAUGUGA
rnacentral:rRNA from 1 species